AUUGAACGCUGGCGGCAGGCUUAACACAUGCAAGUCGAGCGGAGAUGAGGUGCUUGCACCUUAUCUUAGCGGCGGACGGGUGAGUAAUGCUUAGGAAUCUGCCUAUUAGUGGGGGACAACAUCCCGAAAGGAAUGCUAAUACCGCAUACGUCCUACGGGAGAAGCAGGGGAUCUUCGGACCUUGCGCUAAUAGAUGAGCCUAAGUCGGAUUAGCUAGUUGGUGGGGUAAAGGCCUACCAAGGCGACGAUCUGUAGCGGGUCUGAGAGGAUGAUCCGCCACACUGGGACUGAGACACGGCCCAGACUCCUACGGGAGGCAGCAGUGGGGAAUAUUGGACAAUGGGGGGAACCCUGAUCCAGCCAUGCCGCGUGUGUGAAGAAGGCCUUAUGGUUGUAAAGCACUUUAAGCGAGGAGGAGGCUACUGAGACUAAUACUCUUGGAUAGUGGACGUUACUCGCAGAAUAAGCACCGGCUAACUCUGUGCCAGCAGCCGCGGUAAAAC
rnacentral:rRNA from 1 species